rnacentral:misc_RNA from 1 species
AAGUCGUAACAAGGUUUCCGUAGGUGAACCUGCGGAAGGAUCAUUCUUGUAUACCUGGUCGAGCGUAAGCUAGGCCAAACCAUGUGUGAAUCAGUGUUCUCUUCCCAGCGGAAGGUCUUGCGACCCUGGGCUUAUGCCUGGGCGAACUUGAGUGACGGCUGGGGUAUUGCCUCGCAAGAGGUGAAUCAAGUUAAGUAGCAGGGAACUCAAAAGUAACAAAUUACAACUUUUAACGAUGGAUCUCUUGGCUCUCACACCGAUGAAGAACGAAGC